rnacentral:rRNA from 1 species
CAGUAGCCGCGGUAAUACAGAGGGUGCGAGCGUUAAUCGGAUUUACUGGGCGUAAAGCGUGCGUAGGCGGCUAAUUGAGUCGGAUGUGAAAUCCCCGAGCUUAACUUGGGAAUUGCAUUUGAUACUGGUUAGCUAGAGUGUGGGAGAGGAUGGUAGAAUUCCAGGUGUAGCGGUGAAAUGCGUAGAGAUCUGGAGGAAUACCGAUGGCGAAGGCAGCCAUCUGGCCUAACACUGACGCUGAGGUACGAAAGCAUGGGGAGCAAACAGGAUUAGAUACCCCAGUAGUCCCUGUCUCUUAUAC